UAGCCGUAAACGAUACUCGCUAGGUGUCGGCCACGGUGCGACCGUUGUCGGUGCCGUAAGGAAGCCGUGAAGCGAGCCACCUGGGAAGUACGGCCGCAAGGCUGAAACUUAAAGGAAUUGGCGGGGGAGCACCACAACGGGUGGAGCUUGCGGUUUAAUUGGAUUCAACGCCGGAAAUCUUACCGGGACCGACAGCAACAUGAAGGCCAGGCUGAAGACUUUGCCGGAUUAGCUGAGAGGAGGUGCAUGGCGUAGUCGUGU
rnacentral:rRNA from 1 species